CCUCCAGAGGUAGUUUCAAUCAAUUUCGUAUUGGCAUCUUCAUCUGCUCUAAUUCGAAGAUAUCAUCAACUAAUCAAUUACUCAUUUACUCAUUAUUUUUUGCCGGGCAGGGCUUGGAAACGGUUCAUCAAUACUGUUCCGGGUAAAUGGAAACCGGAGCUUACAUUUGAAGAUUACCCUUGUAUGAGGCAGGAACAAGGGAAUAACUUAUGUGGAUACUACGUCUGCACCUUCAUGCGUGACAUGGCCUGUCCCAAGGGUGGGGAUGCCCGUAUACACCACACUCGUAUGACACGCCUGCGGGACACUCUCAUAACAGCGGAUCAAAUAAAAGCAAUUCAAGAGGAAAUCGCGGGAUUCUUUAUUACCGAGGCCCUUACCCCAGGUGGAGAGCACUAUCGGCAGAUCGUGACGGCGAAGGAUAUUCGUCGAGGAGAUGUUGUAUUGUAAAUAUGCAUGCAUUACGUGUACUGUGUUGACUAUGUCGUGUACUGUU